GAAAUGCGAUAAGUAAUGUGAAUUGCAGAAUUCAGUGAAUCAUCGAAUCUUUGAACGCACCUUGCGCUCCUUGGUAUUCCUUGGAGCAUGCCUGUUUGAGUAUCAUGAAAUCUUCAAAGUAAAUCUUUUGUUAACUCAAUUGGUUUCUACUUUGGUAUUGGAGGUCUUUGCAGCUUCACACCUGCUCCUCUUUGUUCAUUAGCUGGAUCUCAGUGUUAUGCUUGGUUCCACUCGGCGUGAUAAGUUAUCUAUCGCUGAGGACACUGUAAAAGGUGGCCAAGGUAAAUGCAGAUGAACCGCUUCUAAUAGUCCAUUGACUUGGACAAUACCUUUAUGAUCUGAUCUCCAAUCAGGUAGGACUACCCGCUGAACUUAAGC
rnacentral:misc_RNA from 1 species